ACGAUUUGAGGUGCGAAGACUUGCUUGAUUAAUUGUGUAAUUUUCUUCCUUGAUGUCAAUUGAAGGCGACUAUAAUAUUUUAGUUACCUUGGUAGGGCAAAAAAUUUAUUAACUAUGAUACUCCAUCUACCUCCUAAUAUAGUUGGUUUGUAUAAUAUAAUUUUGUUAUGUACUUAAAUAAAUUUUAUUAUGUUUAUUUGGAAUAAAG
rnacentral:lncRNA from 1 species